UAGUCCACGCCGUAAACGUUGGUCACUAGGUGUAGGAGGUGUCGACCCCUUCUGUGCCGUAGUUAACGCGUUAAGUGACCCGCCUGGGAAGUACGGUCGCAAGACUAAAACUCAAAGGAAUUGACGGGGGCCCGCACAAGCAGUGGAACAUGUGGUUUAAUUCGACGAUACGCGAAAAACCUUACCUGGGCUUGACAUCCUGAGAAUCUUUUAGAGAUAAGAGAGUGCCCUUUUGGGAAUUCAGUGACAGGUGCUGCAUGGUUGUCGUCAGCUCGUGUCGUGAGAUGUUGGGUUAAGUCCCGCGACGAGCGCAACCCUUAUCGUGUGUUACCAGCGAGUAAUGUCGGGGACUCACACGAGACUGUCUGUGGAAAGCAGGAGGAAGGUGGGGAUGACGUCAAAUCAUCAUGGCCCUUAUGUCCAGGGCUACACACAUGUUACAAUGGCAUGUACAGAGGGUAGCGAAGCCGCAAGGUGAAGCCAAUCUCACAAAGCAUG
rnacentral:rRNA from 1 species